rnacentral:rRNA from 1 species
CCCUUAGAUGUUCUGGGCCGCACGCGUGCUACACUGAGUGGAUCAGCGGGUCAGGUUGCGCGAAAUUGUUUCCUAAUCUUUAAAUCCGCUCGUGAUGGGGAUUGACGGUUGCAAUUUUCCGUCAUGAACGAGGAAUACCUUGUAAGCGCGGGUCAUCAUCCCGCGCUGAAUACGUCCCUGCCCUUUGUACACACCGCCCGUCGCUCCUACCGAUUGAGUGGUCCGGUGAGGCUUUGGGAUCUGAGCGGAAAGAGCGUUUCGCUGUUUCUGCCCGGAAAACUCAGUCGAACCUUAUCAUUUAGAGGAAGGAGAAGUCGUAACA